rnacentral:rRNA from 1 species
AUUCUGGCUCAGAACGAACGCUGGCGGCGUGGAUAAGACAUGCAAGUCGUGCGACAGACCAGGAAUUGAUUACUUCGGUUUGAUUUUCCUGACGAUGAGCGGCGAACGGGUGCGUAACACGUGAGAAACCUGCCUUGAAGUUCGGGAUAGCUCGGCGAAAGUCGAAUUAAUACCGGAUGUGGCCUAGGGAUAGCAUUUUCCCUUGGUUAAAGCUCGGUCACAGAGCGCUUUUAGAUGGUCUCGCGGUCUAUCAGCUUGUUGGUGAGGUAACGGCUCACCAAGGCUACGACGGAUAACUGAUCUGAGAGGAUGAUCAGUCACACUGGAACUGAGACACGGUCCAGACACCUACGGGUGGCAGCAGUCGAGAAUCAUUCACAAUGGGCGCAAGCCUGAUGGUGCGACGCCGCGUGGGGGAUGAAGGGCUUCGGUCUGUAAACCCCUGUCAUCUGUGAGUAAGGUCUCGUAUAAAAGCUACGAGGAUUGAUAUUAGCAGAAGAGGAAGGGACGGCUAACUCUGUGCCAGCAGCCGCGGUAAUACAGAGGUCCCAAGCGUUGUUCGGAUUUACUGGGCGUAAAGGGUGCGUAGGCGGUUAGAAAAGUUUGGUGUGAAAUCUUCGGGCUCAACCCGGAAACUGCACUGAAAACUAUUUAACUAGAGGAUCGGAGAGGAGAUUGGAAUUCUCAGUGUAGCAGUGAAAUGCGUAGAUAUUGAGAGGAACACCAGUUGCGAAGGCGGAUCUCUGGACGAUUCCUGACGCUGAGGCACGAAAGCUGGGGGAGCGAAGAGGAUUAGAUACCCUCGUAGUCCCAGCCGUAAACGGUGCGCACUUGCUGUGGGCGGAUUCGACCCCGUCCGUGGCGAAGCUAACGCGUUAAGUGCGCCGCCU